CCUUAUUGUUUUGCUCAACAUCAAUGACCAAUAAGUUGCCACUUGGCAACUAAUGCUCAUAAUAUAACUUGCUGCUCAUCAAUAAAAACACAUAAAACUGGCCAUCAUCAUGAGGCUCCAGGUCAUUAGUGGAGCUGCCAGCUGCCUGGUGGUGCUCACUCUUCUCUGUGCCUUGCCUUCUGUUCCAGCUUUUAAUGUUGGAGUGAAAGCAACAAAAUGCAACUUGGAUCCAGCCAAGGGAGAGCUCAAUGACCCAUGUCUGUCUCUCUACAAUGCUGUAUGUGGAGGGAGUUUUUGCCAAUGUCCCCCCGGUACUCAUGAGGAUAAAACCUUAAAGACUUGCAAGCAAGGUGCUGGUUCAGCAUCAGGAAC
rnacentral:lncRNA from 1 species